rnacentral:rRNA from 1 species
UAGGGAAUCUUCGGCAAUGGACGAAAGUCUGACCGAGCAACGCCGCGUGAGUGAAGAAGGUUUUCGGAUCGUAAAACUCUGUUGUUAGAGAAGAACAAGGACGUUAGUAACUGAACGUCCCCUGACGGUAUCUAACCAGAAAGCCACGGCUAACUACGUGCCAGCAGCCGCGGUAAUGCGUAGGUGGCAAGCGUUGUCCGGAUUUAUUGGGCGUAAAACGAGCGCAGGCGGUUUCUUAAGUCUGAUGUGAAAGCUCCCGGCUCAACCGGGGAGGGUCAUUGGAAACUGGGAGACUUGAGUGCAGAAGAGGGGAGUGGAAUUCCAUGUGUAGCGGUGAAAUGCGUAGAUAUAUGGAGGAACACCAGUGGCGAAGGCGGCUCUCUGGUCUGUAACUGACGAUGAGGCUCGAAAGCGUGGGGAGCGAACAGG